AGUCAUUCUGUCCCCAGCACUUUGUUUUGGGACACUUUGCUUCUGAUAAGCGGAGGGUUCCAUCCUAGUCAGACAUCCUUGAGCCUGUUCUUCUGAAGCGAUGGUCACAUUGUUGUUCUUGUUGAUAAAAUGAAAAAUGUUUGCAGUGAGCAGCCUUAUCCCAUGUUUGUUAAGAUUGCGUCCUCCUCUUCCAAAGAGGUGAAAGCGCUGCCAGUAGAUCCAGAGGUUAUCAAUGAAGGUCACUGAUCUGGCAGAGCAGGUUUUAAUCAGCCAUUUGUUUAUCAUGUCCAGCCUGGAAUGUUUUUCGUCUCCCCAUUGAGGCGAUGGAAUUGGACUGCUGAGAAAUAACUUUGUUUUUAAUUUUCCCAUAGUGUCCAGAAGAAUAUUAAAGUCCUUUUUCAGAAUCUCCGAUUUUUGCUUUGCCAGAUCGUUGGCUCCAACAUGCACAACUAAAGUCUCCAUGUUUGGCUGAUCAGUGGUUAGAGAGAGCACUUUGCGAGUCAAAUCAGAUACAGUGUCACCAAGAAAAGAAACCACUCUCGUUUUCUUGGGAUUGCAAACAUGACUGAUUCCAUUUACUGUCUCAUCUCCAACAAUAAGCACUCUUGGCAUACCUUUUGUUUUCCUGGUGGUCACUUUGUCCUUCGGAGCUUUGUGGGGUGGAUGUGUUGGUUUAGCCUCAUUGCUGAUGUUUGAAGGUGGGUUUUCACUCAGAGGCUCAGGCUGGAGUGCAGAAAAUCUGUUUUUCAGUGGGAUUCCCACGGAGUCGGAAUGUUUUGAGGCUUGGGCUGGUCGCUUUGUCCUUGGGAGCGGGGUCGGUGUUGAAGUUGAAGGUGGGUUUCGGCUCAGAGCCGGCCACGCUGUUUCGUCCAGGUGAGGGGUUCUCCCCGUUAGUCGUCUCAUGGGAUCUGCAGUGUGAGACUUUUGUUUCGGCUUGGCGCCCUGAGCGAUCCAGGGUGAGCUGCUUGGUGCGGGGUGUACGACCUCUCCGCUGAUUUGAGGAAGAGUUGUUUCAUUUCCACAGGUAGCGUUGAUCUCAAAGUUCACCUCCAGCCGUUGAAUCUUCGUUUCUAAAAA